UACAGAGGGUGCAAGCGUUGCUCGGAAUCAUUGGGCGUAAAGGGCAGGUAGGUGGUCUCGUUUGUCUGGGGUGAAAGCCUUGAGCUUAACUCAAGAAGUGCCCCGGAAACGGCGUGACUGGAGUCUUGGAGAGGGUCGUGGAAUUCCCGGUGUAGCGGUGAAAUGCGUAGAGAUCGGGAGGAACACCAGAGGCGAAGGCGGCGACCUGGACAAGCACUGACACUCAACUGCGAAAGCGUGGGGAGCAAACAGG
rnacentral:rRNA from 1 species